AGACCCUUGAUCUCGGUUAGAAAUUUUUGAUCUAGAUGGUGAAGACAUGUCCGCCACUUUUGGGCCUCCUUCCACCUAGUUAAAAGGACUUGGGUGGUUGAGCUCCCUCUCUCUCCAUUUUUUUUCUUGUGGCAAAGCCAUGGCAAAAUAUUUCCCUAUUUUGGGAAUGCAAAUCUUAUCUCGUAACCUUAAACUGCCUUGGUUCUUUUUGCUCAA
rnacentral:lncRNA from 1 species